rnacentral:rRNA from 1 species
GAUGAACGCUGGCGGCGUGCCUAAUACAUGCAAGUCGAGCGAACAGAUAAGGAGCUUGCUCCUUUGACGUUAGCGGCGGACGGGUGAGUAACACGUGGGUAACCUACCUAUAAGACUGGGAUAACUUCGGGAAACCGGAGCCAAUACCGGAUAAUAUUUCGAACCGCAUGGUUCGAUAGUGGAAGAUGGUUUUGCUAUCACUUAUAGAUGGACCCGCGCCGUAUUAGCUAGUUGGUAAGGUAACGGCUUACCAAGGCGACGAUACGUAGCCGACCUGAGAGGGUGAUCGGCCACACUGGAACUGAGACACGGUCCAGACUCCUACGGGAGGCAGCAGUAGGGAAUCUUCCGCAAUGGGCGAAAGCCUGACGGAGCAACGCCGCGUGAGUGAUGAAGGUCUUCGGAUCGUAAAACUCUGUUAUUAGGGAAGAACAUACGUGUAAGUAACUGUGCACGUCUUGACGGUACCUAAUCAGAAAGCCACGGCUAACUACGUG